UACGGCAGCAGUGGGGAAUAUUGCACAAUGGGCGAAAGCCUGAUGCAGCUAUGCCGCGUGUAUGAAGAAGGCCUUAGGGUUGUAAAGUACUUUCAUCGGGGAGGAAAAAACAAACUAAUAAUUUUAUUUCUUGACGUUACCCGAAAAAGAAGCACCGGCUAACUCCGUGCCAGCAGCCGCGGUAAUACGGAGGGUGCUAGCGUUAAUCAGAAUUACUGGGCGUAAAGAGCACGUAGGUGGUUUUUUUAAAGUCAGAUGUGAAAUCCCUGGGCUUAACCUAGGAACUGCAUUUUGAAACUGAAAUACUAGAGUAUCGUAGAGGGAGGUAGAAUUCUAGGUGUAGCGGUGAAAUGCGUAGAUAUCUGGAGGAAUACCUGUGGCGAAAGCGGCCUCCUAAACGAAUACUGACACUGAGGGUGCGAAAGCGUGGGGAGCAAACAGGGAUUAGAUACCCG
rnacentral:rRNA from 1 species